GAACAGAGCAGAAGGAGUCAGACAGGCUGGUUUCCAUGGCCUUGGGGCCGGUCACUUCCUUCUGUGAUUCCCAUGUUCCUCAUUUGAAGCGUGAAGAGAGUCCCCUUGGCCUUAAAAGGCACAUCUUCUCCGUUCAUUCAUUCAUUCACUCAUUCAUAGAAGAUGGCGUUUCCUAAGGAAUAGAUUGCUCUGUAUAGCGUCUAUCUUUGGGGGGGGGGCGUAAAAUGGGGUCAUUUGGUAGACAUAUUAUUUGCUCAGCAAACAUUUACUUGCCUAGCCCUCCCCACUUGGAGAGGGAUAGAAUUUCCUCACUCUGUUGAUAUUAGAUUUAGCCAUGUGACUUGCUGGAGACAGAAUACAGGCGGAAGCGGCAGCAGCCAGCUCCGGAGUCGCUGAGCCUCCCCUUUCCCACCUCUUGAGCAAUUGUCCUUGGCCAUGAGAAUACCAGAUAGCGGGAGUCCUUCAGCCGGACAAAGAAGGAGCAGACAAGGGAGACAGCUGUGUGUGACCCAAAGCUCGGAGGCCAGCCCGACCCAGCUAACCCACGGUGCUGAGAUUGAAUUUAGGGGCCUUGCACGUCUGGUCAAUCACUCCAGGACUGAUCUCCAUCCCUGUCUCUGGUUCUUGUAGUUCGCCGGUCUCACUGAGAAGCACAGUCUGCAGGGUCCCGAGUGGCCUUUCUGCCUCUGCCCUGUCCUCUCAGUGAUGGCAGCCUUGAAACUGUCUUCUGAGUUAUGGCAGCUACGCCCACAGGACUGGGUGACCCAGUGGGGCCUGGAGGUGGGGGACCACCACUGUCUGUCCUUGGUCUGAGAGGUGACCACAGCGGCUAAGAUGACCACAGGGGAAAUGGAGCAGGAUCCGAUCAUACAGAAGAGAUCUUCCGAGUCCACGGGAGUGAUGGGAGAUUGGAUUGUAUGAUGCUUGGAAAGUUCUUAGCAUACCGCUUGUGUUGGGGAAGUGCUUAUGGUGGACCAUUGUUAUUAUUGUCAGCACUGGUCAUUAUUACAAUAUCCAUCACUUUUGUAAUUAUUGUCGUUGUCAUUGUCAUCAUCAUCAUCUUCACUAGGCAUGGCCAGGUAAGGCAGAGGUGACUAGCUGCCCCUCCCCCCACCCUGGAAAUUUCAUACCUUCUCUUUCAUAAAGUAGGAAGAGCUGCCCCAGACAGGAACUACAUUUCCCAUACUCCCAUGCAUCUGUGUGGGACCACAUGACUAUUUCUCAUUAGUGGACUGUGAACAGAAACAUAGGCACGGGAGACUGAGUUGAGUCCACCUUCUCUCUUCUCCCCUCCACCACCCACUAUGGAGAAUCAGAGGACUCUGGGGCUCCAGUAGGGAGUCUAGUUGUUCUGACCUCCAUUACCACAGUCCAAUUCUGCUUUUUCUUGAAUAUCGUGUAAAAGGAAUCAUACAAAUCACUUGUUUUUUUCUACAUUCAUAUUUUACGUUUUUGUAACUUUGUAUUUGUUCUCUGCUUUGCUAUUGUGCUGUAUUGCACUCUAUUGUAACCUGUCCCUUCCGUGUUCUUAUUGUUGGGGGUUUGUACUGUGUCCAGUGUUUGACUAUUAUAAGUAAAGCCACAACGGGUUAUCUGUGUA
rnacentral:sRNA from 1 species